UGGGGAAUAUUGGGCAAUGGGCGAAAGCCUGACCCAGCAACGCCGCGUGAGGGAAGAAGGUCUUCGGAUUGUAAACCUCUGUUCUUGGUGACGAAAAAGAUGACGGUAGCCAAGGAGAAAGCCCCGGCUAACUACGUGCCAGCAGCCGCGGUAAUACGUAGGGGGCAAGCGUUGUCCGGAAUCACUGGGCGUAAAGGGUGAGUAGGCGGUUAUUUAAGUUGGGUGUGAAAUCCCCGGGCUUAACCUGGGAAUCGCACUCAAAACUGGGUAACUAGAGUGUCGGAGAGGAAAGCGGAAUUCCUGGUGUAGCGGUGAAAUGCGUAGAUAUCAGGAGGAACACCGGUGGCGAAGGCGGCUUUCUGGACGAUAACUGACGCUGAGGCACGAAAGCGUGGGGAGCAAACAGG
rnacentral:rRNA from 3 species